GAAGUAUCAAAUAAAGCUACUAACUUUUUCUAUUAAUGGUUAAAUUCCAUUUAUACUUCU
rnacentral:tRNA from 1 species